UUACGGCCAUAUCGCUGUCUAACAUCGGGUUUCGUACGAUCACCGAAAUUAAGCUACGAAGAACCAGGCCAGUACGUAGAUGGGUGAUCGCUUGGGAGUACUAUGCGCU